GUGGGGAAUUUUGGACAAUGGGCGCAAGCCUGAUCCAGCAAUGCCGCGUGCAGGAUGAAGGCCUUCGGGUUGUAAACUGCUUUUGUACGGAACGAAAAGCCCUGGGUUAAUCCCCUGGGGUCAUGACGGUACCGUAAGAAUAAGCACCGGCUAACUACGUGCCAGCAGCCGCGGUAAUACGUAGGGUGCGAGCGUUAAUCGGAAUUACUGGGCGUAAAGCGUGCGCAGGCGGUUUUGUAAGACAGAGGUGAAAUCCCCGGGCUCAACCUGGUAACUGCCUUUGGGACUGCAAGGCUAUAGUACGGCAGAGGGGGAAGGAAUUCCGAGUGUAGCAGUGAAAUGCGUAGAUAUGCGGAGGAACACCGAUGGCGAAGGCAAUCCCCUGGGCCUGUACUGACGCUCAUGCACGAAAGCGUGGGGAGCAAACAGGAUUAGAAACCCUGGUAGUCC
rnacentral:rRNA from 1 species